GACGAACGCUGGCGGCGUGCUUAACACAUGCGAGUCGAACGGAAAGGCCCUGCUUUUGUGGGGUGCUCGAGUGGCGAACGGGUGAGUAACACGUGAGUAACCUGCCCUUGACUUUGGGAUAACUUCAGGAAACUGGGGCUAAUACCGGAUAGGAGCUCCUGCUGCAUGGUGGGGGUUGGAAAGUUUCGGCGGUUGGGGAUGGACUCGCGGGUUAUCAGCUUGUUGGUGGGGUAGUGGCUUACCAAGGCUUUGACGGGUAGCCGGCCUGGGAGGGUGACCGGCCACAUUGGGACUGAGAUACGGCCCAGACUCCUACGGGAGGCAGCAGUGGGGAAUAUUGCACAAUGGGCGGAAGCCUGAUGCAGCAACGCCGCGUGCGGGAUGACGGCCUUCGGGUUGUAAACCGCUUUCGCCUGUGACGAAGCGUGAGUGACGGUAAUGGGUAAAGAAGCACCGGCUAACUACGUG
rnacentral:rRNA from 1 species